AUGCCAUGGUGAGGGCAUUUGCGCAACAUCUCCUUAAACUGCUCCCUUGCCUCAUAUGAAGAUUCUUCAUCAAGUUGCUAAAAUGAAGUAAUUCAUUGUGGAGCUU